AUUGAACGCUGGCGGCAGGCCUAACACAUGCAAGUCGAGCGGAUGAAGGGAGCUUGCUCCUGGAUUCAGCGGCGGACGGGUGAGUAAUGCCUAGGAAUCUGCCUGGUAGUGGGGGAUAACGUCCGGAAACGGGCGCUAAUACCGCAUACGUCCUGAGGGAGAAAGUGGGGGAUCUUCGGACCUCACGCUAUCAGAUGAGCCUAGGUCGGAUUAGCUAGUUGGUGGGGUAAAGGCCUACCAAGGCGACGAUCCGUAACUGGUCUGAGAGGAUGAUCAGUCACACUGGAACUGAGACACGGUCCAGACUCCUACGGGAGGCAGCAGUGGGGAAUAUUGGACAAUGGGCGAAAGCCUGAUCCAGCCAUGCCGCGUGUGUGAAGAAGGUCUUCGGAUUGGAAAGCACUUUAAGUUGGGAGGAAGGGCAGUAAGUUAAUACCGUGCUGUUUUGACGUGACCAACAGAAUAAGCACCGGCUAACUUCG
rnacentral:rRNA from 1 species